rnacentral:sRNA from 1 species
ACAGGGUAGCUGGGAGUUGGAAGAGCCAAGAACGCCUCCGAGCUCUGGAUUUGAGCUUCUCUGCCCAUGGGUGCAGCAUCCAUGCUCAGCUUGUGAGCUUCUUCCCGGGAGAGCAGCCAUGGCACUGAGGAAUGUGCCCUUUCGCUCAGAGGUCCUGGGCUGGGACCCCGACAGCCUUGCUGACUAUUUCAAGAAGCUCAACUAUAAGGACUGUGAGAAGGCAGUGAAGAAGUACCACAUCGAUGGGGCUCGCUUCUUGAACCUGACAGAAAAUGACAUCCAGAAGUUCCCCAAGCUCCGGGUGCCGAUUCUCAGUAAGUUAAGUCAAGAAAUCAACAAGAACGAAGAGAGGAGGAGCAUCUUCACACGCAAACCCCAAGUCCCGCGGUUUCCUGAAGAGACAGAAAGCCACGAAGAGGACAAUGGGGGCUGGUCGUCCUUUGUGAGUAUGGUGUGGGCUCUUCUUGCAACUUUACAGCAGUAUCCAGGGCAGCUUUGUGAUAAGGAGCCAGGACGGAGCCAAGUGGAGCGGGGCUCUAACAUGAUGCCAGCACACCCACCCAGGGCCCAGAAAAGGUGCUCUGCAUAGGGCCAGACAGGAAAAAGUUUUGGCUUUGGGAGCCAUGCAGUCUCUGUCUCAGCUACUCAACUCUGCUACUGGAGCACAAAAGCAGCCACAGACAAUGAGCAAACAAAUAGGCUUGGCUUUGCGCCCAUAAACCUUCAUUUACAGACAGAGAGGGUGGGCUGCACGUGGCCCUAGGCUGUACUUUGCUGACUGCACUUCACCCACUGUUACCACCCCCAUCUCCAAAAAUGGACACUCCUAGAAAUCUACUCUCAAGUAGCUUUUCUUAGGGACUUAAGUCCCCAUCGGUGACACGGAGGGAAAAGAACUUCAGAACCGACUGUUAGCCCUGAAAAGACCUCAAAGAGGGUGCGAUCC